AACGAACGCUGGCGGCAUGCCUAACACAUGCAAGUCGAACGAACCCUUCGGGGUUAGUGGCGCACGGGUGCGUAACGCGUGGGAAUCUGCCCUUGGCUUCGGAAUAACAGUUAGAAAUGACUGCUAAUACCGGAGGAUGUCUUCGGACCAAAGAUUUAUCGGCCAGGGAUGAGCCCGCGUAGGAUUAGGUAGUUGGGGGGGUAAAGGCCUACCAAGCCGACGAUCCUUAGCUGGUCUGAGAGGAUGAUCAGCCACACUGGGACUGAGACACGGCCCAGACUCCUACGGGAGGCAGCAGUGGGGAAUAUUGGACAAUGGGCGCAAGCCUGAUCCAGCAAUGCCGCGUGAGUGAUGAAGGCCUUAGGGUCGUAAAGCUCUUUUACCCGGGAUGAUAAUGACAGUACCGGGAGAAUAAGCCCCGGCUAACUCCGUGCCAGCAGCCGCCGCAG
rnacentral:rRNA from 1 species